GUUGGUUAAUGGUUGUGAUUAAAAAUUGAGAAAAAUUGAAAGAAAACAAAAAUAGAGAGAUCUAUUCUCAUAGAAUUCGAACUCCACGGUUGAAACUUUUGUCCCAUCGUAUAUUUCAAAAACUAUUUAAAGAAAAUUUUUAAAUAAUUAAAAACAAAAUAUGAUAUAUUAAUAAAAACUAAAAAAUUUAUUUAACCCAAAGUUUUUUUUUACCAGCUGACAAAUAAAACAAUACCAGAGAGUAUAGUUUAAAUCCUCACUCUGAAACAAAUAUUGUAGACCCAUACUACAAUGCCUCUUAUUAAUUUGUGGCUGCCUUGUGCUACCAACCAAGGCCUUUUAGAGUGACCAUCGUUCUAUUGUUUUCUUCAAGUGGCAGCAGAAACAAGAUGUCAGCAUUUUAUAUAUAAACAACUAAAUUAAAAUAUGAAUGUAUAAUAUGUAGCAAAAAAAGAAUAUGAAUGUAUAAAAAAACAAAGACAACAAAUAAGAAUUAGGAGCAAAUGGAGAGCUUAAUGCAAAUAAAAAUACAAAAAAAUAUGAACAAAAAAUCAUUGUCACAUGAGACCUUAAUGCAAAUAAAAGAUUGUUUGAUAUUUCUUUGUUCAAUUUUGAUUGUAAAGGGUAACGAAAUAAUGACCAAGCCAUACCACAAAAAUUGUAUAAACACUUAAUACAAGAGGAGUAUUUUAAAUAAAAAAUCAAUUGUGUUUACAUAUCUCAGUUUUCAUGAUACUCCUCUUGCCAACAUAGGUUCGUGUGCAAAAAGAAGAAAAAAAACUACUCCUUCCGGCUUUUAUUAUAAGAAAAAGUUUGAUGUAUCUAGUCCAUAUUAUUGUCUAGAUAUAGAUUCAACAUUCCAUGAAUCUAAAAAAUAAAUUUCUUCUUAUAAUAAGGACCAGAGGGAAUAAUAACUAAAAAUAAGAGAAAGUCUUGUGUUGACACAAAAUUUAAACAUAAAACCUAAAUCUAGCUAAAAAGAAAUCUUCAUGAUAAACUAACUAUACAAGUUAUAAAUCGAAUAAGAAUAUAAGAACAAGAACAAGUUAAAUCGAACAAAGAACAAAUUAUAAAAGGAAAAAAUAUAUAAUACAAGAAGUGGUGCGAUGAUAACUUUGUUGGAAGCAAGCAUCCUUUAAAUAGGGAAUUUAUGACGAAGAUUCCUUGUUAUUUCCUUC
rnacentral:lncRNA from 1 species